rnacentral:tRNA from 1 species
GGUAGGGUGGCCGAGUAGGUGGCAAGUUGUAGCCUUGCUUACGGGGAAAAAGUUCUUGCCCCCCCAACCA